UUUUUUGGGUGUGCGUGCAAAAGAAUAAAGUUGUUUUGGUUUGUUCAACGAGAAAAAUAACAUAAUUAUAUGGGUCAAUCGAUAAUGUGAUUCGGGGAGUGUUUUAUAAGUAAUUCCACAUCCACAUCGGAUAUUUUUGCUAUUUGCGGUUAUCGCUAAAACACAAAUGGCGAAAUGCGAAACGAUAAGCCAGAUUCAUCCGCUCCAGUUGGCAGGAACCGGCAAUCGCCAGCUCAUAACGGAGUAAGUGGCAAAUACGUGAUUUGCUGUUGCACAGUGUACAAAGUGGAUCAAACACUUGACUACAAAACAGCUUAACGAGCACUCAAUGGGGCUUGACUAAUUGUUCGCUACUGAUCAAAAGUGACUGCAAUGACUGAAAUUGGCCAACGAACUCUGGACCCACCCACAAAUAGAAUCCAGCUGGAGUUGGCAAUGCGAGGGUGGCCCCCAUUCAGCUAGUAAACAAACCAAAAUACACA